rnacentral:ncRNA from 2 species
UCCGCCGCUGCAAAUGAUGGUGCCCGUAAAGGGUGAAACGGGAAUGCGGUGAGAUACCGCAGCUGCCCCCGCAACUGUAAGUGACGAGCCUGCGUCACAUGCCACUGGGCCCGGCCCGGGAAGGCGACGCAAGGCAAUGACGCACGAGCCAGGAGACCGGCCAUUAUCUUCAGUCGACG